rnacentral:rRNA from 1 species
AGUGAACGCUGGCGGUAGGCCUAACACAUGCAAGUCGAACGGCAGCACAGUAAGAGCUUGCUCUUACGGGUGGCGAGUGGCGGACGGGUGAGGAAUACAUCGGAAUCUACUUUUUCGUGGGGGAUAACGUAGGGAAACUUACGCUAAUACCGCAUACGACCUACGGGUGAAAGCAGGGGAUCUUCGGACCUUGCGCGAUUGAAUGAGCCGAUGUCGGAUUAGCUAGUUGGCGGGGUAAAGGCCCACCAAGGCGACGAUCCGUAGCUGGUCUGAGAGGAUGAUCAGCCACACUGGAACUGAGACACGGCCCAGACUCCUACGGGAGGCAGCAGUGGGGAAUAUUGGACAAUGGGCGCAAGCCUGAUCCAGCCAUACCGCGUGGGUGAAGAAGGCCUUCGGGUUGUAAAGCCCUUUUGUUGGGAAAGAAAAGCAGCAGGUUAAUACCCCGCUGUUCUGACAGUACCCAAAGAAUAAGCACCGGCUAACUUCGUG